UCUUCAUUUCUCGUGCUCUCUCACCGGUCAGAGAUGCGAGAGAGUGUGUAAAAUGAAGAGA
rfam:Pristionchus pacificus strain PS312 contig5652, whole genome shotgun sequence.